rnacentral:rRNA from 4 species
CCUGCGGAGGGAUCAUUACCGAGUUUACAACUCCCAAACCCCUGUGAACAUACCUUAAUGUUGCCUCGGCGGAUCAGCCCGCGCCCCGUAAAACGGGACGGCCCGCCAGAGGACCCAAACUCUAAUGUUUCUUAUUGUAACUUCUGAGUAAAACAAACAAAUAAAUCAAAACUUUCAACAACGGAUCUCUUGGUUCUGGCAUCGAUGAAGAACGCAGCAAAAUGCGAUAAGUAAUGUGAAUUGCAGAAUUCAGUGAAUCAUCGAAUCUUUGAACGCACAUUGCGCCCGCUGGUAUUCCGGCGGGCAUGCCUGUUCGAGCGUCAUUUCAACCCUCAAGCCCCCGGGUUUGGUGUUGGGGAUCGGCUCUGCCCUUCUGGGCGGUGCCGCCCCCGAAAUACAUUGGCGGUCUCGCUGCAGCCUCCAUUGCGUAGUAGCUAACACCUCGCAACUGGAACGCGGCGCGGCCAUGCCGUAAAACCCCAACUUCUGAAUGUUGACCUCGGAUCAGGUAGGAAUACCCGCUGAACUUAAGCAUAUC